rnacentral:rRNA from 1 species
AUUGAACGCUAGCGGCAGGCCUCACACAUGCAAGUCGAACGAGUGGCAGACGGGUGAGGACGGUAUGGGCAACUGCGUGAUAGUGGGGGAUGACUACGGGAAACGGUAGCUAAUCCCCGAUAACAUCAGAUGUGCUCACAUGGGAUUGGCGUGUUGGUGGGGUAACGGCUCACCAAGGCGACGAGCCAUAGCUGGUCUGAGAGGAUGACCAGCCACACUGGAACUUAGAGAUGGGCCAGACUCCUACGGGAGGCAGCAGUGGGGAAUAUUGUACAAUGGGCGCAAGCCUAGUGCAGCCAUGCCGCGUGUAUGAAGCAGGCCUUCGGGUUGUAAAGUACUUUCAGCGGGGAGGCGUUACCCGCAUAAGAAGCACCGGCUAACUCCGUGCCAGCAGCCGCGGUAAUAC